rnacentral:tRNA from 1 species
GUGGCGGUAGCUCAAUCCGGUAGAGCUCCAGGUUGUGAUCCUGGUCGUUACGGGUUCGAAUCCCGUCCGCCACCCCA